GAUGAGCGCUAGCGGGAGGCCUAACACAUGCAAGCCGAGCGGUAUUGUUUCUUCGGAAAUGAGAGAGCGGCGUACGGGUGCGGAACACGUGUGCAACCUGCCUUUAUCUGGGGGAUAGCCUUUCGAAAGGAAGAUUAAUACUCCAUAACACAUUGAUUGGCAUCAAUUAAUAUUGAAAGCUCCGGCGGAUAGAGAUGGGCACGCGCAAGAUUAGCUAGUUGGUGAGGUAACGGCUCACCAAGGCGAUGAUCUUUAGGGGGCCUGAGAGGGUGAUCCCCCACACUGGUACUGAGACACGGACCAGACUCCUACGGGAGGCAGCAGUGAGGAAUAUUGGUCAAUGGGUGCAAGCCUGAACCAGCCAUCCCGCGUGAAGGACGACUGCCCUAUGGGUUGUAAACUUCUUUUGUAUAGGGAUAAACCUACCCUCGUGAGGGUAGCUGAAGGUACUAUACGAAUAAGCACCGGCUAACUCCGUGCCAGCAGCCGCGGUAAAAC
rnacentral:rRNA from 1 species